GAGCACGGAAACAGGAUCCACUUGGCACACAGGCCUCGUAGGAUUCCGUUCCGGGGAGAUAUAUACGUGUGCGAACAGGAGAGUUGGAGAAAUAAUAUUAGACGAUAAUUCGAGGAUAAGAGGAGGAGAUGCAAAGAGGAAAGACGCCCACGGGAGGAUAUCGUAACAUGGAUGCGAGCUGUUGGUGGAGAAGUUAGAAUCGGUGGAUUUUUAAGGUGGGCAAAGGAUACCUCUAAAUGCAACUACCGUAUGAUGGGUCACGGUUUAAGACUCGUUAUCUUUUCGAGGUUGGAUAUCGCCGUUGCCGGCUCGAAAUGGGACCCUGAUUCUCCAUCGGCUUGUUAUAUAAUUUUGAUCCCCCGACCGGUGACCGAGAUAGGAAUCACGCGUCGGUGAAUUCGACGUGUAAAUAUAAUACACCGACGUAACGAAUGUCACGCACGUCGUCGGUGUCCCAACUCGGGACAAUUUUCUCUCUCUCUCUCUUUUGUUCCCUCUCUUUGUUCCUCGCGCACAACAUACAGACAUUACCGUUAUAAUUCGAUUUCGAGUCAGUUCAAUUACGAAGCGGACGACGUAACAACGUCUGAAUUACAAGCUGUCGAGACCCUAGGGUUCCCCAGAAUCGAUGGAACGAACGUUAACAGACGAAAUCGAAAUGAAGAAAGGGGGAAAAAGAAGAGAGAGAGAGAUAGAAUGUUAUAUGCACGUCAGAAGCUUGGCUCUUUGGCGUCCCACCUACUCUCAGCUGUUAAAAUACGUAUAUAUUUACGUCUGUAAACGCAGCUGCCAGACGCUUUUUCGAGGUUUAUCUACGACGUGCUAGUCGAAAACCAUUUCUUCUCUCUUUCUCUCUAUUUUUUUCUCUCAUUCUUUAUCGGCCAGACGCUGUUCAUUAACCCGUCGUUUUUCGGACCUCCUCGUGAAUGGAACCCCUUUUUCGUGCACGCGUGCUGGGAAUCGACUGCACAGCCUUUUAGGCACGAUCCAAACGGUCUGUCUUCCGUGCGGGGGAGGGCACCAGUUUUGUGCGUUUGGUAGAUUUUUUUUCUUUUUUUUUUUUUGUUUUUUUUUGGAGGAUUUUCAACGCCCCCGAGAUUGGAGGAACGAAACUUUGAGAAUUUGGGAAUCUCGUUGGGAAAAACAUCUUUUGGGAGGCGUUGAAGUCUAAUAUCUCGUACUAGCUUUUUUAUAUUUAUAUAGGGCUUGAAUAUAAUAAUUCAUCCAAGUUUAUUACGCGAAUUAGCACGCACUUUAUCUUUUGCUCGAUGUUGGACGAAUGACUUCUUCCUAGUCGCUGGAAGCACGGGAUUGGCAAAUUCAUUGAAAUAUUCAAUUUGCAGAGGUGAGAUUGGUCAUAGAAAACGAUCGUCUUGUAAUCAUCCUCGCGCAGAAUUAAUUACCGUGAUGAAAGAGUGACUGGUUAACUAAGAAUUCGAAUAAACUUGAAUUGAGCAUUUAUUAUAUAUACAGCUACUAUAAUUGAUUCGCUUUUCAUGUAACUUCGACCGUUUGUUGACAAUACGAUUAUCUGCUUUUAUUAUUAUUACGUUUCGAGCGAAAUAAAUUAUCGAAAUAACUUAUUCGUAAAAUUUAAUCGUUAAAUUUUGCCCAUCACUGUCCCCGAUCGGUGUUCGAAUUACGCGCGGUUGAAAGUUCAAGAAAAUCAAAAAUAAUGCCGAAUUUUGCAGCGCUGCCCGUGCUGCAAUUGCAAAAGGCCUAUUGAAAAAAUAAAAUUCGCGUGCAAUUUCAGGAUCUCUAUCUAUAUUGCAACGUUCGAGGUUUGUUCAAUUUUGAAGAAUAAGAAAUUGACUUCCUCGCUUCUAAUCUAUCGAGGAGCGAAGCAAAAGCGUGACGCGGAAAAUAGACAGAUGUGUUAGACCGCGCGCGUAGAGAGAAUGUUAUGAUGUAACACAAUAAAUAUUUCCCAAGGUUGCAGCAGCA